UUUAAACUCAUUUUUUAAACUCUAACGUCAGAAAUACAAUUUUAGCGGCUUUUUAUAUUUAAAUAUGUAUGGAAAGCAAAAUAACCGAAGAGCUGAAAGCAAAAAAAAAUAUGUCCCGUUCGGUCGAUUUCUCGAUAAUCAAACAGUCAUCGAGCUCUAUUUGUACUAGGAAUCUAGAAAUCAGCACAAGUGGAUCUGUCAAAACAAUAAGUGACAUCCCAAAAGUUAUGUUUAUUAAGUAAAUCCCUUGCAAUACAAAUAAACGUAAACAAACAAAAAGAAAUACACAAGUACACGAACUUAUGCAUAAAUUGAACGUCAUUGAAAGGGAAGAAGGCUAAACCCAGCAAACAAAAGAAUAUUUAAUAAAAACUAUCAAUAUAUAACAAUGAACAUUAAAGUUACUUCUUGAAGCUGAAAAUUGAUAGGGUCAACAAGGCACCAAGCCCUUCAUAGUAUAAAUAAGUAAAACUAACUUAUACGGUUAAUUUAAUAUUAACCAUUUUCAAUGGCAAACAAACCUUAUUAGAGAUUUUCAAUUGACAGACACGACUAGAUGGCCUUUCACGAAAUGUUCACUAGGUAUACAUGUGUAGAAACAAAAACAAUUUAUUUUCUCUCUUGUCAUACAACCAAAUAACGAAUGAAACAAUUCCAUUGGAUGGACAUUAUCGAAAUUAUUAAAAUCGUAAUAGGCAAGCACGUCAAUGAAAUUUUCUACCAGUUCAACAUGAAAUCUAACAAGUAUUAAAUUUAUUUUGGAAGUUUAAUGACACAAAUACAAAAUAAAACAUAAAUAUUCCAAGAGUUUUUGUUAAAUGAAAAAAGUGUAAAUGAAAUCGCUGUAUACGAUAGAAUAUACAUGAUUGUAUAAUAAUAUACGUUUAGAAAUGAGACAACAAAAUAGUACAUAACAAAAUGAAAAAGAGAUAGUGUGUUGCAUUUCCUUGUAUCUCCUGAUGUAUUGGAAUCAUAAUUCAAAAUGUUUAGUGAUUCUUUGGGUACACACCACAAUAGUAUGGUUGUUGUUUUUUGUUGAUUUGACGAUACUUUUGCAACACUGUUUAUAGACAGAAUGAGUGCAAACAUGCAGUUAACAACAACAAAAUACAUACUGAGUGACGUUUAAAAUAAAAAAAAAACAAUUCCAUGAAGAAUUCGGUUAAUAAAAUGUUCACUGACGUAAAUGCAUGCAAAAGAUGAUGGUCCGCCAAUUAAGCACGGACCAAUAUAAGGUGAAAGACACAGUUGGAUAGUAACCCAAGGCAUGUCAGAAAGGAUCUUCGUAUAUACUAGGAAAACAUAUGCAGAUAUGUGCAGAAUCCAUUGGAUCAGUCCUCGUAUUCGGCAGCUUUAAACGACAUUCGUAGAGAUGUCAUAAAUUCGCAGGAUAACGCAUGAAUGUCGUACUUGGAGGUCGCCCAUAGCAGACACUGAAGAAAACCUUCCGCAAAAAACAAGAGUAAUUCGAGCACAACUAAGACCGGGAUGGAGCAACAGGCUCAAUGCCUACUGGUCACGUAUAGACCGUGCCGUCCCCAACGAAUGUCCUGCAUGUGGUCAGGGCCCUCAUGACACCUAGUUUAAUGGAUUUAUGGACGCAUCCAGUUGAAGUAGCCCAAGACCUGGAAAUUGAUGUAGAACCCCCCCUAAAGUGGUGUAGGGUAUUAAAAGUCUAUUAUUUUCGGUUUGAAAUCUUUCAAUUUGAUUCAAAGUAUGUAAUUUUAUUGUAACGUCAUGUUGUAGUAAAUAAGCGAUAUGUACAAAUAAAUGUACAAUAUAUAAAUAUUGA
rnacentral:lncRNA from 1 species